rnacentral:rRNA from 11 species
UGCCUACGGCCACACCACCCUGAGCACGCCCGAUCUCGUCUGAUCUCGGAAGCUAAGCAGGGUCGGGCCUGGUUAGUACUUGGAUGGG